rnacentral:rRNA from 1 species
UACGUAGGGGGCGAGCGUUGUCCGGAUUUAUUGGGCGUAAAGAGCUCGUAGGCGGUUUGGUAAGUCGGGUGUGAAAUCUCCACGCUCAACGUGGAGGGGCCACUCGAUACUGCCAUGACUCGAGUCCGGUAGAGGAGUGUGGAAUUCCCGGUGUAGCGGUGAAAUGCGCAGAUAUCGGGAGGAACACCAAUGGCGAAGGCAGCUCGCUGGGACGGUACUGACGCUGAGGCGCGAAAGCG